rnacentral:lncRNA from 1 species
GACGGAGUCUGUCUCUGUCGCCCAGGAUGGAGUACAGUGGCACAAUCUCAGCUCACUGCAAUCUCUGCCUCCCAGGUUCAAGCAAUUCUCCUGCCUUAGCCUCCCAAGUAGCUGGGAUUACAGGUGCCUGCCACCACGCCUGGCUAAUUUUUGUAUUUUUGGUAGAGACGGGGUUUCACCAUGUUGCCCAGGCUGGUCUUGAACUCCUGACCUCAAGUGAUCCACCCCCACCCCCAUUGGCUUCCCAGAGUUCUGGGAUUACAGGCGUGAAUCACCGCGCCCAGCCCAAAUCGCCGAAGUCUUUAUCUCCUACCUUGAUCUCUGUAGCAGAAAAGAACAGUAUAGAUAUCAAUUGUCAUCAACAGAUGCAACAUAUCUUGUAAAUCAAUAUAUUUUCAAGUGAGGUCUCUGAAUCACCUGCACUGAAAUCAUCUGUGAUGCUUAUCAAGCAUGCAGAUUCUCAGGACCCUUCACUGACUUCAUAAAUCUUCAUCUCUGGAGGUGAGACCCUGGACACUGUAUAUGCAACGAGCACACCACCAAUCCUGGAUGAGCCCCGCUUUUUCUCUGUGCCAGAACCUUAAUGCCACGCAGCAUUACAUUAAGUCACAUUACAACUUUGGUCAAUGGAAACACAGGUCUUUUUCUGACAAAAUGCCAUCAAGCCAGGUUUGCUCCCCACUUAAGUUCAAAUAUUAAUCAUUAAUUUUCUGAGCCUAAAUGCAUUUAUCCAUGUUAAACAUAAUUAUUUUAACCUCAGCUUGAUUUGGUCUUUUUAACCUUUGUUCUGUUAAUGAGAUUCUUUUUUCAGCCUGUGUUGAAUCAUCCACAAAUGAGUAUUCCACAUCAUUAAUAAAUAAUGCUAAGGAGGACAGAACCAAGGACAGAAACCGGUAAGACGACUCCUUUUUCUCAUCAAAUUAGAUAAUAUUCAGCACAGAGUUGUUCAACUGACUACAAGUCCUCUUAAUGCUUAAAGCCUCUACCCACACCUCAAUCUCCCAUUUUAACGCCAGGAUUUCCUAGGCAACACUGUCAACCCCACUGAAAUCAUAGAAGCCUGUGUUUCUCAAAAUGAGAGAAGAAACUAAAUGUUAGUAUCCUUUUCUAGAUAAAGUUAUAGAAAAGGGCCAAAUCAUGAUUUGUGACAUUGCCCCCACUUGCUUCUACCAGUUUUAAACACUGUCUUUUUGGACCUAGAUUUUAAGAAAUAUUGGUGGUUUAUAUAGCACCAUAAUAAACUAUGACAAAAUAUACUUUACAAAAAUAUUAAUAUUUCCAGGUUAAUCCAAGCAUCGAACAAAACUCUUCGAGAUGAAGUGUUCUAUCAGGUGAAAAGCCAUUUCCUUUCCUUAUGCUACCUCAUUCCCUUUUCCAAGAGUUGCCUUCCCUCCCACACCUAGUUUGCCAUUUCCAGGGGCUAAGUUCAACUGAUGGUCCACAGGUCCUUUCACAAGUUUGAUUUUUACAAAAGUAACCUUCAUUUCUUUUACUUUGUCUCUUUUUGUCUGCUUCUUGGUGGUGCUCUUUGUUUGAAAACAUUAACAGUUCCUUGUUUGUUUUCACUUGUGAACUUGGCACAGGGAACAUUCUUGAGUUGCACUGCACUUUGGUUGUCUUAGCUGCUUCCUGUAAUCCUGAUUUAACAGAUCGGUAGGCAAGCCUAUUGGCAUACUGAUCCAUUAUCAACUCACUAUUACCACCUUCCUGUUUUAGUAUCUGAAUAAGGUGACCUGCAUAUUCAUCUGUCACACUUUCACAGCUGGGAUACUUAUACAUCAGACCUGACAUACAAGAACUUGGUGGUAAUGAAAGAAUAAACGGAUCCACUUCUCUUGGGUGCACUACAGCCUCUAUAUCCAACUUCUCUUCUACUUUAUAAUCUUCGUCACCAUCAGCAUAACAACUGUUCUUCUUUUGCUUGAAAAGCAUACAAUUUCGGACUUUUGCUAUUUUCUCAGCUUCUGUAAUGACUUCUGCUGCCAGAUCACCCGCAAAAUUGCAUAAUGUUUUCAAAUUUUCGUCUGAGGGGUUUAAAAAAGUAGGCGACACACUUCUUUGACUUUGCACAUUUAAGCAAGGGUUUUUAACCUUGGGUUCUUGAAUUAUUUUGUUAUCUAAAUGGGAAGCUGCCAUUUCAGUUGCAAGAGAAAGGAUGUGUGUAGCUAAUGCUUCUGCAAACUGAACCUUCUUCCCUGAGUGCUCCGACUUCACAUCCACUUCUGGGAGCUCUCCACUUUCACUACUCUCAACUUCUUCAGAAAGAGAUCGCAUGAGUUUCAACAUGAACUCUUCUUUUUCUAUAGUAUUUUGUUCAUUCUCAGACAAACUACCAACAGAUGAGUUGUGUGGAGUAGAAGGUGGUGUAGCAGGUGCAAACUCUUUGGCUAAUUCUCCCUUGAGCUUUUUAGU